rnacentral:tRNA from 1 species
GGCUGGUUAACUCAGUCAGUUGAGCAUGGUGGUGAUAACACCAAGGCCACGGGUUCAAUUCCUGUUCAGUCC